rnacentral:piRNA from 1 species
ACAAAAACAAAAAAACCUCCCUGCUAUCCCC